CCUACGGGCGGCAGCAGUGGGGAAUCUUGCGCAAUGGGCGAAAGCCUGACGCAGCGACGCCGCGUGAGGGAUGAAGGUCUUCGGAUCGUAAACCUCUGUCAGCAGGGAAGAACGGUCACUGUGCUAAUCAUCAGUGAAUUGACGGUACCUGCAAAGGAAGCACCGGCUCACUCCGUGCCAGCAGCCGCGGUAAUACGUAGGGUGCGAGCGUUUAUCGGAAUUACUGGGCGUAAAGCGCUCGUAGGCGGUAUUUCAAGUCAAGGGUGAAAGCCCCGGGCUCAACGGGGGAACUGCCUUUGAAACUGGCAAACUUGAGUGUGUGAGAGGAGAGUGGAAUUCCAGGUGUAGGAGUGAAAUCCGUAGAUAUCUGGAGGAACAUCAGUGGCGAAGGCGACUAUCUGGCACAUAACUGACGCUGAGGAGCGAAAGCGUGGGUAGCAAACAGGAUUAGAUACCCUAGUAGUC
rnacentral:rRNA from 1 species